GGCAGCAUGGUGUAGUGGUGUGAGUGUUGGACUAGGAUUCUAGGAGUCCAAGGUUCAAAUCCCUGCUCAUCCA